AGAAGGACAGUCCAGGGAUAGCGAUGCUUGCAAGUGAGCGAAAAAGAGCUUGGAUUGCCUUCUGCGAGGUCCCUCUGGAGCCAGGCACAUCCGUCACUGUCCCCGGCAGCAGCAGCUGAGCGGGAGCAGCAAGGAAAGUGCAGGCCUCAGUCUAGAAGAUGUCCUGGCAAGAGGAGAGGGAUGAAGGUCUUUCUGUGCUCCAGAAAAGCCAGCACGAAGAAGAGUACAAACAAGCAGCUGUUCAUGUGGAAGCUGCCAUCUGAUCUAACUUAAAGACACCACUCAGCAGACUUGCUGCUGGAAGACCUCGCUGUUUGGAAAUGAGGACGAAGGCAACACUGUUCUCCCAGAGGUGCAGGAGUUCAGGUCCCCAAGAGACCAUUCUCUCCAAGAGACAGAGGCCUAUUGCACAGUACAGGAAAAACAUAGGUGAAGAGCAGAGAAUGAAACUUGGGAAUCCAGAAAUGUUGUGGGAUCUACCCCUCUCUGGGCUUCUGGGUCUUAUCCUCCUAAAUACUGGCCAAGCCUUCUCAUCAAAGCAGCCUGUUUCAGCUCUCACCACUCACACAUAUAUCAGUCCAACAUCUCCAAACACAGACAAUGGAGAGAAGGGAGCUAGCCCAUGAGAUUGGCCAUAACUAUAGUUAUUAUCAAAGGGGGCACCAAGGAUCCAACGCCCUCAAGGAGGAAGAGCACCUAGAGCUGACACAAAGCUGGCAAUUGUUGUUUUACUCAAAGAAGGUGGCAAGAGGCAGAGGAAAGCAGCAGAAGGAAGAGUAAAGCAAACAAAAAUAAUAACAAGGGUUUGUACCUGUUUAUACCCAUAAUGGAAAUUAUGGGACCAGCAAGAAGCUGUCACCACUUCCCAGGAAGACUACUGGGGCUCUUGGGUUGACUGUUCUCUCCUGAAGUCAAGAGGUACUGUUAAUUUUAGACUUCUAAUUUGUAUAAGACAGCUGUGCAUGCAACCACAUGGUAAGAAGAAAGAGUAUCCUCUUGUCAAGAUCCAACUGUGAUGGACACAGUGAGGAGCAACCCAGUUUAUUUUGGCUAGAUGCCAUCAAAACCACUACUAAUUAGCUUAGAUUGAGUCUGU